GGAGCCGUAGCGAAAGCGAGUUUUAACUGAGCGUUCAGUUACUUGACGUAGACCCGAAACCGGGCGACCUACCCAUGAGCAGGAUGAAGCGAAAGUAAAAUUUCGUGGAGGUCCGAACCCACGAGCGUUGAAAAGCUCGGGGAUGACUUGUGGGUAGCGGUGAAAUUCCAAUCGAGCCCGGAGAUAGCUGGUUCUCCCCGAAAUAGCUUUAGGGCUAGCCUCAAGGUGAGAGAUACGGAGGUAGAGCACUGAAUGUCCUAGGGGGUAUUGCACCUACCGAAGACUAUCAAACUCCGAAUGCCGUCAUCUUAUACUUGGGAGUCAGACUGUGGGUGAUAAGAUUCAUAGUCGAAAGGGCAACAGCCCAGAUCGUCAGCUAAGGUCCCUAAAUGUAAGUUAAGUGGUAAAGGAUGUGGGAUUGCACAGACAACCAGGAUGUUGGCUUAGAAGCAGCCACUCAUUCAAAGAGUGCGUAAUAGCUCACUGGUCGAGUGAUCCUGCGCCGAAGAUUUCCGGGGCUAAAACUUACUACCGAAGCUACGGCAUCAGUAAUGA
rnacentral:rRNA from 1 species